UACGGGGGGGGCAAGCGUUGUUCGGAAUUACUGGGCGUAAAGGGCUCGUAGGCGGCCAACUAAGUCGGACGUGAAAUCCCUCGGCUUAACCGGGAACUGCGUCCGAUACUGGAUGGCUGGAGUAUGGGAGAGGGAUGCGGAAUUCCAGGUGUAGCGGUGAAAUGCGUAGAUAUCUGGAGGAACACCGGUGGCGAAGGCGGCAUCCUGGACCAUUACUGACGCUGAGUGAGCGAAAGCCAGGGGAGCAAACGGG
rnacentral:rRNA from 1 species